rnacentral:lncRNA from 1 species
UCUCCCAGUGAGAAAUCGUCUGCUCGGAAGAAGCGAAAAGGAGUCAGAAGAGGCAGAAAGGCUGAACUACUGCUACAGAGUACAGAGCUGCAGGAGAAGCCAGACUCUCUGUGCUAGAAAAGUGAAGACGAUGAUUAUGAUUGAUGUUGUUAAAGCGCAAAAGAGGAAAAAGGUUCAACGUCCAAAUGGGAAUAAGAAGCAUGCCGCAUAUAAAAGCAAGGGGAGAGAAGA